GACCUGAUAGCAAGGGGUGUGCAUCUGCCUAUAUGUUGCAUAAUGUCGCGAGUUGAGUGUAUUAACAGAGGGUCCCCGUUCGACUCGGGGUCAGGUCA